GCUGGGUUCGCCUAGUGGUAGGGCGGCAGGUUGCUAACCUGUUUGGUCGUAAGACCUACACGAGUUCGAUUCUCGUACCCAGCG
rnacentral:tRNA from 1 species